AACUGGAUAGCCUAGUGGUCAAAGGCAGUGCUUCUAGCAAUGUAGGUCCCAGGUUCAAAUCCUGGUCUAGUCA
rnacentral:tRNA from 1 species